rnacentral:tRNA from 1 species
UCUCGAUUCGUCUAGUGGUUAGGAUACCUGCUUGUCAUCUCACAAUGUGUUGAUCGAGUUCGCAGGUGGCCGGGGUUCAAUUCCCCGAUCGAGAG